CAACCCUCGACCUUAGUUGCCAGCAUUCAGUUGGGCACUCUAAGGUGACUGCCGGCUAAAAGUCGGAGGAAGGUGGGGAUGACGUCAAAUCAUCAUGCCCCUUAUGACCUGGGCUACACACGUGCUACAAUGGGCGGUACAAAGGGUCGCGAACCCGCGAGGGGGAGCCAAUCCCAAAAAGCCGCUCUCAGUUCGGAUUGCAGGCUGCAACUCGCCUGCAUGAAGCCGGAAUCGCUAGUAAUCGCGGAUCAGCAUGCCGCGGUGAAUACGUUCCCGGGCCUU
rnacentral:rRNA from 1 species